rnacentral:rRNA from 1 species
UACGGAGGAUGCAAGCGAUAUCCGGAUUUAUUGGGUUUAAAGGGUGCGUAGGCGGGACAGUAAGUCAGUGGUGAAAGUCUGCGGCUUAACCGUAGAAUUGCCAUUGAUACUGCUAUUCUUGAAUGUAGUUGAGGUAGGCGGAAUGUGUAAUGUAGCGGUGAAAUGCUUAGAUAUUACACAGAAAACCGAUUGCGUAGGCAGCUUACUAAGCGAUUAUUGACGCUGGAGCACUAAAUCGUCGGGAUCGACCAUG